UGGGGGAUUGGUCUAGUGGUAUGAUUGGCGCUUUGGGAGCGUCAGACAGGGGUUCAAUUCCCUUAUCCCCCAU
rnacentral:tRNA from 1 species